rnacentral:rRNA from 1 species
GACGAACCGUGCGAACGUUGUUCGGAAUCACUGGGCUUAAAGGGCGCGUAGGCGGGUGUGCAAGUCUGUGGUGAAAGCCUCCAGCUUAACUGGAAAGUGCCAUGGAUACUGCACAUCUUGAGGAGGGUAGGGGCAUCUGGAACGGUCGGUGGAGCGGUGAAAUGCGUUGAUAUCGACCGGAACUCCGGUGGCGAAGGCGAGGUGCUGGACCCUUCUGACGCUGAGGCGCGAAAGCCAGGGGAGCAAACGGG